UUACUUACCUGGACAGGGUCAAUGGGUGAUCAUUAAGUCCCAUGGCCUAGAUUUGUGACCUACAUUGCACAUUGUAGGGGUGCAUGUCUAAGGUCAGCCCAAAUUGGUUGAGCUUAUGUCAUAAUUUGUGUCAGUAGGGGCCUGCGUUCGCGCGGCCCCUUU